rnacentral:rRNA from 1 species
GACGUACUGCGCGAACGUUAUUCGGAAUCACUGGGCUUAAAGGGUGCGCAGGCGGCUCGUCAAGCCCGUGGUGAAAGGUCCCGGCCUAACCGGGGACGGUCUUCGGGGACUGACGAGCUCGGGCGAGCUAGGGGUCUGUGGAACUCCCGGUGGAGCGGUGAAAUGUGUUGAGAUCGGGAGGAACGCCGGUGGCGAAAGCGACAGACUGGGGCUUGGCCGACGCUCAGGCACGAAAGCCAGGGGAGCGAACGGGAUUAGAAACCCCCGUAGUCC